GAUGAACGCUGGCGGCGUGCCUAAUACAUGCAAGUCGAGCGAAGCGGGGACGGGUGAGUAACACGUGGAUAACCUCCUAUAAGACUGGGAUAACUUCGGGAAACCGGAGCUAAACCGGUUACUUAUAGAUGGAUCCGCUCUGCAUUAGCUAGUUGGUAAGAGAACGGCUUACCAAGGCUACGUUGCAUAGCCAACCUGAGAGGGUGAGCGGCCACACUGGAACUGAGACACGGUCCAGACUCCUACGGGAGGCAGCAGUAGGGAAUCUUCCGCAAUGGGCGAAAGCCUUACGGAGCGACGCCGCGUGAGUGAUGAAGGUCUUCGGAUCGUAAGACUCUGUUAUUAGGGAAGCGGUACCUAAUCAGAAAGCCACGGCUAACUACGUGCCAGCAGCCGGGGUAAUUC
rnacentral:rRNA from 1 species